rnacentral:sRNA from 1 species
ACAAGGAAAACACAUCAUCUGCAA